GGGACAGAGUGUGGAGGUCAGUUAUGAGACUACUACAAUGAUCCAGGCAAAGAUGACAGUGGCUCAGAUCAAGGCCCCGGAGAAGAGUGUCCAGAGAGCAGUGGGAGCCAAGCAGAGGGAGUGGUUAAUUCUCCCUGCCCUGGAGAUCAAAGGCCUCACAGAGGAAAAUGCAGAGCUUGACCUUGAGGGGCCACCGAGUCUGGCGAGAAAGGAUGUAUCACAUUGAUUGGGAUGUCAGUGAUGCAGGCAUGUCAGCAUGGAGAAGGAGCCAGAGCACAACCUUGGUGGAGGCUAGAUAGCUGCACCUGAGGCAACAUUCCCGGUUUCCCAUGACCUACGCAGACCAUGUACUGCAAGUAGAAGUUUCCAUGUGCCAUGUUGAAGGGCACCAAGAUUUAGAAGACAUAGUGUAUUCUCAGGUCCACAGUCUCCUGUGAGUGGUGCCAGAAUGGCCACACCAGCACCAUGUGAUCCUUGGAUCUCUCCUCCACCACCACAAGUCACAUAAACUUUGUGCCCUAGAUAUCAAUAUACCGCUUUGGAAAUGUAUGGUGGGAGUUAGAGUGGGAAAUCAAAAAGAUUGAGCCAUUACCUGAAAUAGACCAGACCUGCUAAGACAGU